GUGGAUGUGCUAGAGUGGUUAUCGGGCAUGACUAGAAAUCAUGUUCGUUCCGCCCGCACGAGUUCGAAUCCUGCCAUUCACG
rnacentral:tRNA from 1 species